UCAAGCUGUAAAGGGCGCAAGGGGAAUGCCUUGGCACUGAGAGCCGACGAAGGACGCGACAAGCUGCGAUAAGCUACGGGGAGCCGCAAAUGGGCUUUGAUCCGUGGAUUUCCGAAUGGGGAAACCCGGCAGAGCAAUACUCUGUCAACAUGUACUGAAUACAUAGGUACAUGUGGGGAACCGCCUGAACUGAAACAUCUAAGUAGGGCGAGGAAGAGAAAUCAACCGAGAUUCCGCUAGUAGUGGCGAGCGAACGCGGAAGAGGCCAAACCGGAGGUAGCAAUAUUUCCGGGGUUAGGACUGCAAUAUGUAACUUUAAUCUUUAACUGAAUGCUUUGGGAAGAGCAGCGAUACAGGGUGAUAGCCCCGUAAGUGAAAAGGAUUGAGUGCUAGCAGUAUCCAGAGUACCAGCGGACACGUGAAACCCGCUGGGAAGAUGGGGGGACCAUCCUCCAAGCCUAAAUACUACUCAGUGACCGAUAGUGGAGCAGUACCGUGAGGGAAAGGUGAAAAGUACCCCGGGAGGGGAGUGAAAAAGAACCUGAAACCUUGUGCCUACAAGCACCGAGAGUCCGUUAAUGGAUGAUCGGGUACUUUUUGUAGAACGGUCCGGCGAGUUAAUAUUUGCAGCGAGGUUAAGGAACUGGAGUUCCGGAGCCGCAGCGAGAGCGAGUCUGAAUAGGGCGUAUGAAGUUGCAGGUAUUAGACCCGAAACCGGGUGACCUAUCCAUGAGCAGGCUGAAGCGGUGGUAAGACACCGUGGAGGGCCGCACCCACGUCUGUUGAAAAAGCCGGGGAUGACUUGUGGAUAGCGGAGAAAUUCCAAUCGAACUCGGAGAUAGCUGGUUCUCCCCGAAAUAGCUUUAGGGCUAGCGUUAUUUUAGAUUACCGGAGGUAAAGCACUGAAUGGUCUAGGGGCCGCGAGGUUACCAAAGCCUAUCAAACUCUGAAUGCCGGAUAAUUGAUGAAUAGCAGUCAGACUGUGUGAGAUAAGUCUCAUAGUCAAAAGGGAAACAGCCCAGAUCUACAGCUAAGGUCCCAAAUGAACACUAAGUGGAAAAUGAUGUGAAACUGCGAAGACAACCAGGAUGUUGGCUUAGAAGCAGCCACUCAUUCAAAGAGUGCGUAAUAGCUCACUGGUCGAGUGGUUUUGCGCAGAAAAUGUAACGGGGCUAAGUGUUCAACCGAAGCUUAGGCAUUGCAGUAAUGCAUUGGGUAGGGGAGCGUCGUAUGCGGGGCGAAGUCAGAGCGGAAGCACUGGUGGACUGCAUACGAGUGAGAAUGCCGGAAUAAGUAGCGAGAAUUAUGUGAGAAUCAUAAUGGCCGAAAAUCUAAGGUUUCUUGGGGAAGGUUCGUCCGCCCAAGGUUAGUCGGGAGCUAAGCUCAGGCCGAAAGGCGUAGGCGAUGCACAUACGGUAGAAAUUCCGUAACCACCGAACAUUUAAGCUAGAGGGACGCUUUCUUUAAGGUUAUCCCGGGCGAUGGUUGCCCCGGGCGUAAGGGACCGAAAUUUAGUAGGGAAGUAACUGGCGAGAGAGACGAGAAAAGCUCUAGUGUAUACUAAGGUGCCCGUACCGCAAACCGACACAGGUAGAAGGGAUGAGUAUUCUAAGGCCAACGGGAGAAGGGUUGUUAAGGAACUCGGCAAAAUGGCCCCGUAACUUCGGGAUAAGGGGCGCCUGCGAGAGCAGGCCGCAGUGAAAAGGCCCAAGCGACUGUUUAGCAAAAACACAGCUCUCUGCUAAAUCGAAAGAUGACGUAUAGGGGGUGACGCCUGCCCGGUGCUGGAAGGUUAAGGGGAGUGCUUAGCGCAAGCGAAGGUGCGAACUUAAGCCCCAGUAAACGGCGGCCGUAACUAUAACGGUCCUAAGGUAGCGAAAUUCCUUGUCAGGUAAGUUCUGACCCGCACGAAUGGCGUAACGAUUUGGGCACUGUCUCAACAGCCCGCCCGGCGAAAUUGUAGUACCGGUGAAGAU
rnacentral:rRNA from 1 species